UCAUGCCAAUGGCACUGCCCGGUAGCUAAAUGCGGAAGAGAUAAGUGCUGAAAGCAUCUAAGCACGAAACUUGCCCCGAGAUGAGUUCUCCCUGAGACUUUAGGUCUCCUGAAGGAACGUUGAAGACGACGACGUUGAUAGGCCGGGUGUGUAAGCGCAGCGAUGCGUUGAGCUAACCGGUACUAAUGAACCGUGAGGCUUAA
rnacentral:rRNA from 1 species